GACGAACGCUGGCGGCGUGCUUAACACAUGCAAGUCGAACGGAAAGGCCCUGCUUUUGUGGGGUGCUCGAGGGGCGAACGGGUGAGUAACACGUGAGUAACCUGCCCUUGACUUUGGGAUAACUUCAGGAAACUGGGGCUAAUACCGGAUAGGAGCUCCUGCUGCAGGGUGGGGGUUGGAAAGUUUCGGCGGUUGGGGAUGUACUCGCGGCUUAUCAGCUUGUUGGUGGGGUAGUGGCUUACCAAGGCUUGGACGGGUAGCCGGCCUGAGAGGGUGACCGGCCACAUUGGGACUGAGAUACGGCCCAGACUCCUCCGGGAGGCAGCAGUGGGGAAUAUUGCACAAUGGGCGGAAGCCUGAUGCAGCAACGCCGCGUGCGGGAUGACGGCCUUCGGGUUGUAAACCGCUUUCGCCUGUGACGAAGCGUGAGUGACGGUAAUGGGUAAAGAAGCACCGGCUAACUACGUG
rnacentral:rRNA from 1 species